rnacentral:lncRNA from 1 species
UCACCAUAGGCUUGUAGUUGUUGAAUUUGAGGGGUCUCGUGCUAUUUUGGGAGUGCAAUCAAUAAUUCGGGGCAAGAGUUAAUUAGUAGGAAAUUACAAAAGCUGCUCUCUUUUUUUGGUUAUUUAUUUUACACGUAUAUCAAAAAAUUAUAAAUAAAAAAAUAAUAAUUUUAUUAAUUCAUCUCUUAAAAUUUUAUAAACAAGUGUGAAAUUUUUUUUAAAAAGUAAAUAAAAAAU